AUACAGAGGUGGCGAGCGUUGUUCGGAUUUACUGGGCGUAAAGGGCGCGUAGGCCGCGCGGUAUGUAGGGUGUGAAAUCUCCGGGCCCAACCCGGAAAGUGCGCCCUAAACUGCCGCGCUCGAGUGCGGGAGGGGAGAUCGGAAUGCAUGGUGUAGCGGUGAAAUGCGUUGAUAUCAUGCAGAACACCGGUGGCGAAGGCGGAUCUCUGGAACGCAACUGACGCUGAGGCGCGAAAGUCGGGGGAGC
rnacentral:rRNA from 1 species